ensembl:lncRNA
CGCCCUUCGGCGCGGGGGGGUCGGGGCCGGAGGGCCUCGAGCAAAAGCACGCGCACAGGUAGCGCGGGAGCGUGCUUUGCGGGAGCCGAAGGGACGCCCCGGGGCAUCUGCGAGCGUGGGGCUGUCCGGUGACUCUCUUUUGAACCUCGUUCUGCGCGCCCUGCGCUCGCUUUCCCCCUCCAACCUGUCCCGGCUGUCCGGGGAUGGGCUGCCAGAGCGUUUCUCCGUGCCGCGUAGCGCCGCGACCGUCCCGCUGCCGGCCGCGCUCCGGGCUCUGCUGCUGCUGCUGGCUGCGCUCGGUGCGCGCUCCCUGGGUGUCACCUCCGAGCGAUCCCGGACCGAGAGAAAGCUCCUACGAGAGCAAAGUUGGGCGCUUCCCUCAGAGCGUCGCGAACCUCAGCGCAAGCCGAGGUGCUCCCCGAGCAGGGUAUUCCCUCCUGCCGAGCGGCCAGCGCUAUGGAAAGAACCGAGGGGAAGCGGGAGGAAUCUCCGCGCGCUUCCCCGAAGCCACACGGGCGCAUCCCGGUGGCAGCGCGGGGCUGAGCUCCUCAGCCCGGUGUGUUUGGAAGCGUAACGCGAUACAUCGCCUCCCUUGAUCUCAUUCUGCCUUCCUCCUUAGCCGUACCUCACUGUACUUAAGAGGACGGUUUUGCUACCAGCCCUCUCCCCCCAUCCCCACGUUUUCAUCUCUUCCUCCUGCUUGCUCUCCUCUCGACAGCUCCAUACCUUUCCAUUAUUUCCUCACACGCAUCACACCACUCGAUCUCUGGCCAUUCCUGGCACCGCUCUCUGCCUUUGGCCACCACCCAGGUGUCCACACAGAGUUGGCAUCCAUCCCAUCCCGUACUACUGCCAUGUCCCGGCCCCGGGUGGCCUCUGUCAUCCCACUGCCACCUCGGCCUGCCCUGACUUUCCACCAGCCAUUGCUCAUCUCUGGAGAUGGAGUCACCUCCAACCUGUCUGGUACCAGGACCUGCAUACCUGGCAUCGUGGUCACGCAUGCUCACACUAGAUUCCAUCACAUACGAAGUAUAAGCAGUACCUGUUGGACUUGGCUAGGGUUUUUGCUGUGGACUUCCCCAUCACCAGUUUGUGCUUCUCUCUUGCCAUGGGCAUGGCCAAAGACUCCACUGCUCACCUGUGCUGCAUACUGUUUAACGCUCUUUGCCCUGGCACAUCCUUUAGCCGCAUAACGACCCUGAUAUGCUUUGUUGUCGCCAGUAUUUCCACCCCAGCGGAUCACCUUUCAGCUUGGCAUUAUGGGGAGCCCUCCAAGAGAGGUGUGCGAAGGGACAGGCACUGCACAGCUGCACUGGUGCAUCUGUCAGCCAACCAGCCGGUCAACCAUUCAGGCACCUCAAUGCUGCACUCGGGAGUUCCUGUCCUCCAAAAUAUACCUCUUCUUUCCCAAAAUUCUGAUACCUCGGCCUGACAAGCACUUCAUAUAUGAAACCUUAACGCCACAGCCUGCUGUUAGGAAUGUGCACGCUGCACCCAGUGCUGGAGCGAAACCAGAAGGGUAGAGCUCAGGUGUUUUGGAACCAUCCCACAGGCAGCCCCUGGCGGCCUUCCAGCAUGCUCUUCCUUUAAGCGUGCUCACUGUGCCUCUGGAGAAGACUGCUGAUCCAUCAGUUAAUCGUAUUGAAGGAAGAAGAAGGCUCUGAGCCUCUGGUUAGCUUCUCUCGCAAGUCCUGACUGCCUUCUGCCUACAUCUCCCGCGUAUGGGAACUGAUUGCUCUGCUCUCUACUGCUUAUUUCCAUGGAGCUGCCACCUGUAACAGGCCCGCCUGGAAGAAAAAGACCAAAAAAAAAACCCACUCAAAACCCAAGAAGCACGUUACUUGGGCUGCCCUCUUGCUUUUUUCUACCCUUCCAGUCAGGCAUGAUUUUAACAGGUUCUAUCUUGAGAAGUACUAAAUCCAGAAACCAGUAUUUUAUGCCAUCUGGAAGCUUGAUAUCCUUGUUUUUCAAAUGGCUCACAAAAAUAUAUCUAAUUCUAAAUACAAACUAUGGGCUGCUAAAUUCCAAUUCAGAGCAGAAUAAAAACUAAUGC